rnacentral:rRNA from 1 species
AUGCACGGCCAAAGGCCACGGGAAACGAUGGUGACACGACGAGGGGGAUGCGGACGACGCGCAGGGGCUCACGGAGACGAGGGGCGCUCGCGGAUGAGAGGGAGAAGGGGACAAGAACGAGGAAGACGACGGUGCACGGGCGUGCACUGUGCUCAGCGACGGCGAUGGCUCAACGAGGAAGCAAACGAAGGGGGAAACGGGCCAAGGCGCACGGCGACGAUGAGGCUGAGCUGGUUGACAAGCUUGGACAAGCCAGAGCUAGCCGGAGAUGCACUACUGUGGCCAGCAGUGGCUAGACCACCGAUUUGGCUGGCACUGCCCGUGGUCACCACCGACAACGCAUAA